rnacentral:rRNA from 1 species
GAUGAACGCUGGCGGCGUGCUUAACACAUGCAAGUCGAACGAAGUAUAUUGGAAUGAGUUCUUCGGAACAAAUGAAUUUAUACUUAGUGGCGGACGGGUGAGUAACGCGUGGAUAACCUGCCUUACACUGGGGGACAACAGUUAGAAAUGACUGCUAAUACCGCAUAAGCGCACAGUACCGCAUGGUACGGUGUGAAAAACUCCGGUGGUGUAAGAUGGAUCCGCGUCUGAUUAGCUAGUUGGUGAGGUAAUGGCUCACCAAGGCGACGAUCAGUAGCCGGCCUGAGAGGGUGAACGGCCACAUUGGGACUGAGACACGGCCCAGACUCCUACGGGAGGCAGCAGUGGGGAAUAUUGCACAAUGGGCGAAAGCCUGAUGCAGCGACGCCGCGUGAGCGAAGAAGUAUUUCGGUAUGUAAAGCUCUAUCAGCAAGGAAGAUAAUGACGGUACUUGACUAAGAAGCCCCGGCUAACUACGUGCCAGCCGCCGCGGUAA